rnacentral:sRNA from 1 species
GCAUGUCCAGAGGGUUGAGCCCUACUCAGCCUCAUCUGGGUACUGACUGGGGGCCAGGACUCAGGUCCAGCCAGUUUCACAGCAGAGCCUGUGCUCUUGGCCAUGAUGAUAAUGGCACUUUCCCACCCAGUCCUUUUUUUUUUCAAAUUUAUUUAUUUUGAGUGCUGCAUUCUCUGCCUUUUAUAGUUAAGAAUGUUUUCAAGGUCUGGUGGGAGGUUUUCGUGUUUUGCAUCCAUGAAUGCAGUCAGUGUUUGCCUGUAAAUAGGGAGGGUCAAUUCUCUUGGGCUCCUCUGCUGUGCACCUCAUUGCCCAUAGAAUGCUCCUCUCGGAUCUUGCACUAGAGCACUGGAUGAUGAAGUGAAGCCUUGCAGAGACCUGUGAGUCUGGGGGAGGAAACCAAGACUCCAGGGUGGAGUGAUUGGCUGUAUGUUUCACCUGCAGCCAAGCGAGGCCCAGAAGUCUUCCAGUGCUUUGGAGGUUCACAAGAAAUAUGGUGACUCAACUGGAACCACAUUAGAGGAGGCCCAGAAGAUUAACAAUGGCUCAAGCCAGGCGGAUGGCACUCUCAAACCAGUGGAUGAAAAAGAGGAGGCAGUGGCCGCCGAGGUCGGCUGGAUGACCUCCGUGAAGGACUGGGCGGGGGUGAUGAUAUCCGCCCAGACACUGACUGGCAGAGUCCUGGUUGUCUUAGUCUUUGCUCUCAGCAUCGGUGCACUUGUAAUAUACUUCAUAGAUUCGUCAAACCCAAUAGAAUCCUGCCAGAAUUUCUACAAAGAUUUCACAUUACAGAUCGACAUGGCUUUCAACGUGUUCUUCCUUCUCUACUUUGGCUUGCGGUUUAUUGCAGCCAACGAUAAAUUGUGGUUCUGGCUGGAAGUGAACUCUGUAGUGGAUUUC